GUUUUGUCUCGGCUCUUCCUUUGUGAGAAGGGCGAUAGGAAUUUAAGAAGGUGCUGCCUGCUCAAGCAGCUGCCGGUGGAGUUACCUGCAGGGCUACGAGAACACCUCCUGAAGGUGAUCCUUGUGCUGUAAUGGCCCUGCAGCCAUUGUGUGAUGGGGAGAGCCGCUCUGCAGCACGGACUGUGCAGUGGAGAGGCCGUCCCCAUGGACAGAGCCCCUUAGCUUAGGCUCAGAGCACACAGCCCGGGCUGGGAAAGCUGUGCUGCAGGUCCCCUGCGCAUGUCAUCUUCAAGACACGGCCAUAUGUGUACCUGCCUUACAGCCGAUGCCCUCCUGUACACAUCGGGUUACCUCUGAUUUCCUAUUUCUGCAAACGCACCCAACAAGGUGUGCUGCUCACAGAAAGGGGCCUAUUAGGAGAGCAGAGAAAACAGCGGUCCCUCCGGGAUGGCAUUUGGGAUACAUCACCUGGGGGUAUUAGAGCUUAAUCGGUCGGUUUUGAGCUGGCGUGGGACAAAUUGGGUGAGGGAAUAACCCCAAACUGGAUUGAUUCUGUGGGCUUGAUCUUAUUGUACACCUGGCGCAGCAGCCUGGAGCUGUGAGUCUUUCUGGAAAGCUCUUACCUUUCUGGAAGAAAAGGACAAUGACACCUUGAAUUCGAUCGCUGCUGUCGGGAUGCCUCUGCCCUGUUCUCAAAGCAGGACAGCAGCCCUGGGCUUUUACAGGCACUGCCUUCUGCCAUCCCUUUCCAGGUCUCUGUGGUGACACAGAAACACUUCGGCUCCGGGAAAGAAGAGAUCCCAGAGACGAGCAACAUGCCUCCACUUUCCUUCCAUUUCCAAACCCCGGCUCCGCCAGGCAGAGACGACCACGUUAGAAAAACACACAAGAUCGAACCCGACAUCAACGGCGGCACAACAAACCCUGAAAACAUCGGCGCAGCCCCGUCCUGACCCACACCAUCACCCGCACACCGCCGCUCUCGCAAAGCAACCCUUCCUUCUCCAAAACCGAUUUCCUCCCCUCCUUAUUUCUGCUGCACAAGGAAAGAAGCUCCCGGCCUUUGUCUGCCUGUGGGAUGGGACCCAGAUCUGUUGGCUAUGGGGAUAACAACAAUAACCAAAGGAAGGGCGUCCUCGCUGCAAACGCGCUUCUCAAGCCUGUCUGAUAUCGAGGAUGCUGAAAACACGGCAGCUUUAUUUCAGCUUGAACUCCU
ensembl:lncRNA